rnacentral:lncRNA from 1 species
CCAAUCCUAGUUACUUUAGGAAAAGUGAAUUGAUGCAAUCCCAUGAAAUUACACUUUGCACCUUGCUAAGAUGUUAGUGGAGCGUGUGUGGUUUACCGGCACACUAAUUGGUUCUAAGCGAAGGUGGCAAAGGGUGAUUCAUUGUUUAUCAUAGUUCGAUGGAGCGUGUGUGGUUUACCGGCACAUCGAAUAGGUGAUCGUUACAAUGAAGGCACCAUGUGAAUUUGCAUGGUAAUUCACACCCGCUUUGUGAUCCUCGGCAUCCCAGUCACAAACAAGAGGGGCAUAUCGAGAUUUAAACAUGCCAUUGAAUAGUUUCAAUGAAUCUCAUCCGAACCUAGGAAUUCUCAAAAACACUUAGGACUAAUAGUUUAAGUUUUGUGAUGGAGAAUUAGUGAAUCGUCAUUCACUUACCUUCAAUUUAUUUGCAUGUUAGAUUACGGCAUCCCUUUUCUAGUAUGUAAAUGUUAUUGUUGGAUCCUAGCCCUAAUUUUCUUAUUGGGUGAUAAUUAGGGAUUCUUAUUCUAAUCUAUCUUUGUCCUUUUCUAAUUGUAGAUGUCGAACGCAAACAACGCUGCUGCUAGUUCUUUCACGUUGAUGAGCCUUUGCCAAAAGGUCACCUUCGAUGGAACGAACUUUAGCGAAUGGAUAAGAUACAUUCGCACCAUUGCUCGCUAUGAGGAUAAGGAGUAUGUCCUCGAUGAGAAGCUCGAGAAAAUCAACCCCGAAAUUGCUACUCCCGCCGAAAUCACCGCCUUUGAAACUCAUGAGCGAGAUGCAACGAAGGUACAUUGCAUCAUGAUCGCCACCAUGAACUCCGAAUUCCAAAAGUCCUACGAGGACAUGUACCCGUACGAGAUGCAUCAAGACUUAUUGGAGAGGUACCACCAAAACGCGAGACAAGAGAGGUACGAGAUUUUCACUAACAUGAUUUCCGCGAAGAUGGGUCAUGGAGAAUCUCUUACCGUGCACUUGCAAAAGAUGCAAAGGUAUGUUGACCGCCUUCGCAAGUUAAAUGUUGACUUCGGUGAAGACUUGGCGAUCGACAUGGUGCUUCACUCUUUGCCUCCGAUGUACAACCAAUUUAGGAUGACCUACCACAUGAACAAAGAAGAGGUCACCCUAAGCAAGCUCCAAGGUCUCUUGAGGGUUGCUGAGAGCAACUUCAAAGACAAGUCUGUUGCACCUACUCCCAAUCCGCCCGCUGCUCCUGUCUUGGCUAUUGGACAAGGGAAGGGAAAGAAGAGGAAAGCUUCAUCGAAGAACUAUCGCAAGGUGAAAGCCCGAGAUGGUGCCUCUUCUAGUGGGACCAAAGUUGAUCCCGCCAAGCCCUGCUCUAACCCGAAGGAGGCAGAGUGCCACCACUGCCACAAGAUAGGACAUUGGAAGAGAAGCUGCCCGGAUUACCUGCAAGCAAUCAAAGAAGGAAAGAUCAAGCCAUCUUUCGCAGGUAUAUAUACAAUCAAAUCUAACGAUUCUAAUCAUGCUAUUUCUUGGGUUCUUGAUACCGGUUGUGGUUAUCACAUUUGUUCUAAUGUGCAGGGACUAAGAAGAAGUAGGGAUGUGGAGCAAGGAAGGAUCAAUCUAAUCAUGGGGAACAGAAGAUCGUCGCCUGUGACCAAGAUUGGAGUGUAUUCCUUAGUGCUUAGGAAUAGUUUAGUUUUAGAUUUGAACAAUUGUUGCUAUUCGCCAGAAAUGGCAAGAAACAUCAUUUCAUUUCAUGGUUUAUAUAGACAAGGAUUUAGAUUUUCUUUUAAUAAUGAGAAUGGUUCUAUUUUGGCUUAUCUAAAUGGUGUCUUUUACUUUGAAGCUAUACCAUGUAAUGGAAUAUAUGAAACCGUUAUGAUUGUUGAUAACUUAGGAAAUGAUGUUUUGAAUAUUGAUUCUUCCACUAGUAUGGAUAAAGCAUCCUUGUGGCAUUGUCGUCUUGGACAUGUCAACAAGAAACGCAUAGCCCAACUCCAAAAGGAUGGAGUGUUGGAGUCAUUCGACCUUAGGGAAGAUGACACAUGCGAGUCUUGUUUGCUUGGAAAGAUGACUAAGUCACCCUUCACGAGUACAUGUGAAAGGGGCGAGGGUCUAUUGGACCUAAUACAUACCGAUGUAUGUGGACCGUUUAGAUCAACCACGAAGGAUGGGAACCGCUUCUAUGUGACUUUUACCGAUGACUAUAGUAGAUAUGGGUAUAUCUACUUAAUCAAGCAAAAGUCAGACACCUUUGAAAAGUUCAAAGAGUUCAAGAAUGAAGUGGAGAAUCAAUUGGGCAGGAAAAUCAAGAUGCUUCGAUCCGAUCGAGGAGGAGAGUACCUAAGUCUUGAAUUCCACGAUUAUCUCAAGGAGUGUGGAAUAGUUUCGCAAUUGACGCCUCCUAGGACACCGCAGUUGAAUGGUGUGGCAGAAAGGCGUAAUCGAACCUUAUUGGAUAUGGUUCGCUCUAUGAUGAGUCGUGCUUCACUACCUAUCUCUUUUUGGGGGUAUGCCUUAGAGACUGCCGCCCAUAUCCUUAACCGAGUCCCUACUAAGAAGGUUGCCAAAACACCUCACGAGAUGUGGACAGGGAAAGCUCCCUCGUUGGCACAUAUCAAGGUUUGGGGUUGCGAGGCUUUCGUAAGACGAGAUACUCACGACAAGCUUGAACCUCGAAGUGAGCGAUGUAUUUUCAUCGGCUACCCGCAGACAUCCUUUGGAUAUCUCUUCUAUAGACCGAAGGACAAUGUUGUCUUCGUUGCGAGGAGAGGAGUUUUCCGAGAGCGAGAACUCAUAAGCCAAGGAGACAGUGGGAGGCAAAUCGAGCUUGAAGAGAUUCAAGAGUCGAUAGAUGAAGGAACCUCUACCGCUGGCACUCAACCCGAGGAGGAAACUCCGGUUGAACCGAUUGACGAAUCCUUACCUCUUAGACGUUCCGAUAGAGUUAGAGUUCAACCCCAGUUUUAUGGUUUUCAUAUUACUACCGAAGGGGACACGUAUAUUAGUGAUGGUACACUAAUAAAUCUUGAUGAACCUAAUAGCUAUAAGGAAGCCAUGGCAGGCCCGGAGUCUGCAAAAUGGAAAGAGGCAAUGGAUAGCGAGAUCCAAUCCAUGUAUGAUAACCAAGUUUGGAAUUUGGUUGAUUAUGUGCCCGGACGUAAGACCGUUGGGUGCAAAUGGAUCUUCAAGAAGAAGACCGACGUGGAUGGAAACGUACACACAUAUAAAGCGCGAUUGGUUGCGAAGGGCUUUACUCAAACUCCCGGAGUUGACUAUGAUGAGACCUUCUCACCAGUUGCGAAGAUUAAAUCUAUUAGAGUGAUGCUAGCAAUUGCCGCAUUUCAUGAUUAUGAGAUUUGGCAAAUGGAUGUCAAGACCGCUUUCCUUAACGGAAAGUUGGCUGAGGAUGUUUACAUGGCUCAGCCAGAGGGGUUUGUGGAUCCGAAGCAUCCGAAUAGAGUGUGUAAGCUUGAGAAGUCCAUUUAUGGACUUAAGCAAGCGUCUCGCAGAUGGAAUCUUUGCUUCGAUGAGAAAGUCAAAGAGUUUGGAUUUGUACGAAGCGAAGACGAAUCUUGUGUAUAUGUCAAAGCCAGUGGGAGUAUAGUAAGCUUCCUCGUUCUAUAUGUCGAUGACAUAUUACUCAUAGGAAACGACAUCCCGACUCUGCAGGAGGUAAAGUCCUGGCUCGGGAAGUGUUUCGCUAUGAAGGACCUCGGAGAGGCUUCUUACAUUUUGGGAAUAAGGAUAGUAAGAGAAAGAAGUAAGAGACUAAUUGGACUUAGUCAGAAUACUUACUUAGAGAAGGUACUAAAACGUUUUAGUAUGGAAAACUCAAAGAAGGGAGAACUACCGAUACAAAGUAAUGCCAAAUUGAGUAAGACUCAAAGUCCGAGUACCGAAGCUGAGAUAGCAGAAAUGAGCCGAGUACCAUACGCUUCCGCAGUUGGCUCAAUCAUGUACGCUAUGACUUGUACUCGCCCUGAUGUAGCCUUCGCUUUGAGCAUGGUUAGCAGAUAUCAAGGGAAUCCUGGCAAAGCACAUUGGAUUGCGGUGAAGAAUAUCCUUAAGUACCUUCGGAGGACGAAGGAAUGGUUCUUAGUCCUCGGAGGGAGUGAUGACUUGAAGGUGCGAGGGUAUAGUGACGCCAGUUUUCAGACCGACAGGGACAACUACCGUUCGCAGUCGGGCUGGGUCUUUACCCUAAAUGGAGGAGCAGUGACAUGGAAGAGUUCCAAGCAGGAAACCGUAGCUGAUUCAACGUGCGAAUCAGAGUACAUUGCAGCGAGCGAAGCGUCGAAGGAGGCAAUAUGGCUAAAGAACUUCAUCGGUGAUCUUGGAGUCGUACCUGCCAUAAAGGAGCCAAUGGAGAUUUUCUGUGAUAACGAAGGUGCGGUUGCCUUAACCAAGGAACCGAGGGAUCAUGGUAGAUCAAGACAUAUCGACAGAAAGUAUCACUUCAUUAGACAUCGUGUAGAAGAAGGACAACUCGUAGUGAAGAGGAUAUCAUCAGAAGAUAACCCAGCAGAUCCGCUUACGAAGGGACUGAGUAGGGUUAAGCACUUGCAGCAUGCUAGGAGUAUUGGGCUGAAGGAUGAUAUUAGCAUAGAUUAGAUAGUAUUAGAAACGUGUAAUAGAUAAAUGUAAUUGACAUUUGAUGAUUAAAUAAAGGAGUUUUAUUUAUGAGUAAUGUUACUAUCUUAUGUUAAUUGUUUAGCUAUUGUUUCACUUUGCAUGUUUUGACUUCCAGAAUAAUUGAGGUUAUUAGGAAUAAUCGAAUUAUUCAAAUGGUCCACAAUCGUUCAUAUGUUGGAAGUAGAUAUGAAAGAAGAUUGUCAUGAAUUGGUGUGUAGAAUGUCUAAAUGGUGUUAGACAUAGCAAAGGAUUGCUGCAACGUUCAUGAGUGCUUAUGAACUAGUUUUGAGCAUUGGAAUAAACCCGCGCUUGCUGGAAUCACCUUAUGGAAUACGAUAUAAAAGGUGAUCGCAAGACGAUAAUAUCAUAUAGUCUUAAAACCUAGAUAUAUGGUUUAUUAUUUGUUAAUUGAUUGUACAUUGAUAAUACGAAAACGCAUCAGUAACUUGGUGUUAUAAAACGUAUUGUUGUGUAUAGUUGGUUAAUGAAUAAGUAAAUGCAUAUAAGUCGAAGUUUAUCUGUAACUUUUAUCUAAGAAGGUAAAAGCGAUAUCUCGGCCGCUCGAUGAUUUGAUUUGACUUAUGUGCCGGGCCCGGUCAGAACUGAAUUGAUGUGUUCGAUUAAGUUCUAUGUCAAAUAAAUCAGAGAUCGAGAAACCUAAAUGCUUGACUAACCAUUCCAUAGGAUUGUCAGCAUGAUAUCUAACAGAGGACUGUACGUUCCCUUAUCUAAAGGACAAGAUUGAUUAGAUCAGAGUUGACAGCGUCUUUGAGAGCUACGAUUGCAAACCGAAUUGUACUUGUAUAGUUACUAGACUUAUCCAAGUGGGAGACUGUUGGAAUAGUGUCUAAGGCUGUAACUAUAUCCGGUUGUGCAUGGUCCUUUUGGGUUGCCUUCACCAUAGCAACUUGAUAGGAUGAUUUAUUAAGAGAGAAUAAAUAUUAUUAAUAUAUUAUGGGAAUAAUAUAAUGAAUAAUAUAUUUGUUAUUUGAUUAAUAUAAGUCAUAGAAUUAAUUAGAAUUAAUUUGGUGACUUAAAGAGAUUAAUUAAAUAAAGGGGUAUAAACUGUCAAUUGUUUGAUAGUUAAGCUUUAAACUGUAAAUCCAUUUGGAUAUACUAUGGACGAAUUCUAAGAGGAUUAGGAUAGCUAAAAUCGUCCAUCAGAGUUAUCUAGGAAUGGAUUUGGAUAGCCUUAAGAGAAGAUUAUCUGAUAGGGACUUAUCUGUAAUCAUUAAGGAAUCUACAAGUAUAAAUAGACCCCAUGGGAUAGGGAAUUCGAUACUUCUGAAAAAGCAAGAGAACUCUGGUCGAAUUCCUCCCCUCUCCUCUCUCCCAAAUCAUCCUCCUUGCUUUGGUGUUUGUAAGCCAUUAGAGGAGUGACAUUUGUGACUCUAGAAGCUCCAAGACCUCAAGAUCAACAAGGAACUCAAAGGUAUGAUUCUAGAUCUGUUUCAAUGUUCUUAUUUAACCUAAUUAGUAAUUAGAAGUCUUGGAUUCAAAGCAUGUUUAUUAGAAAGCCUAGAUCCAAGCAUUAGGGUUUUGCAUGCGCACAUAGGAAAGUUCUUAUGGCUAAAACCCAUCAAAAUUGGCACUUCAUCUCAAGUAGAGAACCCCUGGCCGAAUUGCCUCCCCUCUCCUAUCUCCCAAAUCAUCCUCCUUGCUAUUUGGUGUUUGUAAGCCAUUAGAGGAGUGACAAUUGUGACUCUAGAGCUCCAAGACAACAAGAUCAAACAAGAGAUUCAAAGGUAUGAUUCUAGAUCUGAUUUAGUAUUGUUCUUAUACCUAAUUAGUCAUUAGAAGUCUUGGAUUCAAAGCAUGUUUAAUUAGAAAGCCUAGAUCCAAGCAUUAGGGUUUUGCAUGCGCACAUAGGAAAGUUCUUAUGGCUAAAACCCAUCAGUGGUAUCAGAGACUAGAUUGGUUUCUAUUGAAUUGAUGCAUUGGUUGCUUGUUUGAUGCCUUUAAAAUUCCAAUUUUGUGUUUCUGUCUGAUGGACUCGGUGAGUCCCAUAGUGGACUCGGCGAGUCCAUUGGGGUACUCGGCGAGUCCAAGCGUCAGAAAGAGCUAAUUUCGGGAUUUCUUGUUGUUUAUCUUUGAUAUACUUCCCUUAAUCAUAGUAGAUCAAUAUAAAUCCGAUUUUAUGAUAUAUAUGAGUAUAUUCUUUAUCUAAUUGAAGAUAUUUAUCAAUUAAUAAAAUAUUUUUUUCCUUAUCUUUGAGAUACUUGCUUUAAAUUGUCGCUUGUUUGUUUGAAACUUAACUGCAAAAUUCGAUUUUUGUGUUUCUGAGUCAUGGACUCGGCGAGUUGGCCUGACUCGGCGAGUCCCUUGGUGCACUCGGCGAGUCCAAGCGUCAGGAAUGGCCAGAUUCGGGAUUUCUUCAUGAUUAUCUUAUGGAAACUUACCUUAAUCAUAUUAGAUCAACCCUAAUCCGAUUUUUUGAUAUAUAUGACUAUAAUCUUGAUCUAAUUAAAGAUAUUUAUCAACUAAUAAAAUAUUUAAUUUCCUUAUAUGAUAAUUAAUUAAUUAUUUUGAUUAAUUUGGUAAUUAUCUUGCAAGAAAUCUUGAAUAAAUCAAAUAUAGAUAAUUAGGAAAUUAAUUGUUAAUUAAAAUUAUUUGUUAUUUGAUCCUCCAUGUUUUAAAUGGUUAAAACUUGUCCUCAUGUUUUGAAAUUUAUAUUUUGUGAUGAAAAGUUUUAAUUUAGACAAUUUAAAUUUCAAACCCUAGAUUUUUAAAAGGUUUCAAAUACAACCCUAUACUAAUAUUAUAUUUCAAGAAUAAUAUAUAUAUGUAUAACUAAAAUGCUUUUCUUACCGUUAGUAGGCCUCAUUCACGAAGUCGAUCUAUAAGGCGGGUAUAAGGUUGCAGCCUACAAAAUGGGGCUUAAUGGGUGUACACUCACACCCAACGCUUGCUUGAUCGGUGGAGGGUCAUUAGCCGAACGGGUAGGAUAGGGCAACCUCAUCCUCUCAUUAAAAGUAUAAUAAGUAAUACAAAGUAACUACACAUUUUUAUAAUAAAUUCCCAAUCUUAGUUACUUUACGAAAGUGAAUUAAUGCAAUCGCAUGAAAUUACACUUUGCACCCUUGCUAAGAAGUUAGUGGAGCGUGUGUGGUUUACCGGCACACUAAUUGGUUCUAAGCAAAGGUGGCAAAGGGUGAUUCAUUGUUUAUCAUAGUUCGAUGGAGCGUGUGUGGUUUACCGGCACAUCGAAUAGGUGAUCGUUACAAUGAAGGCACCAUGUGAAUUUGCAUGGUAAUUCACACCCGCUUUGUGAUCCUCGGUAUCCCAGUCACAAACAAGAGGGGCAUAUCGAGAUUUAAACAUGCCAUUGAAUAGUUUCAAUGAAUCUCAUCCGAACCUAGGAAUUCUCAAUACAUUUAGGACUUAUAGUUUGGUUUUUAUGGUGGAGAAUUAGUGAAUCGUCAUUCACUUACCUUCAAUUUAUUUGCAUGUUAGAUUACGGCAUCCCUUUUCUAAUAUGUAAAUAUUGUUGUUGGAUCCUAGCCCUAAUUUUUCUUAUUGGGUGAUAAUUAGGGAUUCAUAUUCUAAUCUAUCUUUGUCCUUUCUAUUUGUAGAUGUCGAACGCAAACAACGUUGCUGCUAGUUCUUUCACAUUGAUGAGCCUUUGCCAAAAGGUCACUUUCGAUGGAACGAACUUUAGUGAAUGGAUAAGAUACAUUCGCACCAUUGCUCGCUAUGAGGAUAAGGAGUAUGUCCUCGACGAGCAGCUCGAGAAAAUCAACUCUGAAAUCGCUACUCCGGGUGAAACGACCGCUUUUGAAAGUCAUGAGCACGAUGCAACGAAGGUACAUUGCAUCAUGAUAGCCACCAUGAACUCCGAAUUCCAAAAGUCCUAUGAGGACAUGUACCCGUACGAGAUGCAUCAAGACUUAUUGGAGAGAUACCACCAAAACGCGAGACAAGAGCGUUAUGAGAUUUUC